UUUGAGCUGAAUUUGAAGGUCACCCCGAGCUUGGGUCUCUCCGCUAUGGGUCCUGGGACUGUGCUGCUCUCGUCACCGGCAGUCACAAGAACGCUGGCCUCUCUGCAGGACUCACGUCCGUCCUCCCAACGCUGGCCAGUUUGGCAGCUCCCUCCAGGAUCCAGGCCCUCCCUGGUCCGGGUUGUCUCGCUCUGUGUCACCUUGCAGCAAGCACCUUCAUCCACCUGCCCCGUCUCCUCAUUGGCCAAGGGCGCUAGAGGGGUGGUCCCCACCUGCACGUCGUCACAGACGUGCUGUGGGCCGGAACACUGACCUCGCGCUUCUUCCUCUCGUCUUCUCUCUGAAGUCGAAGUUCGGGAGCUCAGGAUCCAAAAACGACGACACUGGGACCUUCCAUUCGGAAGGCAUGCUUUGCCCACUCGGCCACUCGCAGUGGCGAACGGUUUUGAGCAGGGGUGUGAUGUGACCGGCAGACCCAUGUGUGGAGCCCGAGGUGGCUUCGGAGGCUGGUGGCUGGGAGAGCAGGGAGGGGCUGCUGCAGUGGUCUCAGCUCCAGUGGCGGGACGGCGUGGAUGGCCACUGUGGGACACAGAGGACAAGGGGGACAUGCAAGAGUCCUAGGCCGGAAGACGCGGGCACCAGCCCCUGCCUGACUGUGCUCUCUUCUCUUUCUGCCGUAAAUAAGAAUAACUGUGGACUGUCACCUCGCCUUCUGCCUUUGUCGCCUCCGUAAUCCCUCCCUCUGCGUGCUGAGGAUAAUUCUGCCUUUUCCUUCACCUGCUCACUGACACCUUGUCACCUCCCACCUUCAAAUAUGCUCAGAUCCCGUUUUUAUCACAUAACACACGGGUUUGUCCUUGGAACCCAUUUUUUGUCUUUCCACCAUGGGUCUUGGGUUUCCUUGGGACAGGCACCUCGUGGAACCCUGGAUGUUUUUCCCAUCUCCCACGUCAGGCGGGCCAUGCCAACCGCACCUUUAAUCGAGUAAUCACAGGGAGAAUGGCGAAUGGCUGUGGAGCCUCUUCCUGAGGGCUCGGGUCUCGGUGGCUGCCGGUACCCUCCAUUUCCUUGAAGAAAGGAGGAAGCUUUGCCCGGAGAGGCCAUGUGGUUCCCCCUACGUCACACAGCUGGUACGCGGUGGAGGCAGAGCCUGAACUCAGAGCCCUAUUCUCUCAAUCCCGACCUGUCUGCCCUGGGCAGGUGUUUCCAGGUGUGGGCUGAACCAGAUGAUGUGUUUCAGGGGGCCCGGCUGGCACAGCAUUCACUGACUGCGAAUCACCCAGCAGGAUGAUUCCUCUCGCCCCACAUUUAGUCAUACUGCAAGGGGACAUCUCGAGAGCUAGUAGGUCAGACAAACCUCAACAUUUUUUAUUGCAAUAAAAUGUAUGGAAAAUUAACCAUAUAAACUAUUUUGAAGUGUACAGUUACAGAGCCCCCAUCCCGGGGACUCUCCUCCCC
rnacentral:lncRNA from 1 species